GCAUAUACAAAGAGAAGCGACCUCGCGAGAGCAAGCGGACCUCAUAAAGUAUGUCGUAGUCCGGAUUGGAGUCUGCAACUCGACUCCAUGAAGUCGGAAUCGCUAGUAAUCGUAGAUCAGAAUGCUACGGUGAAUACGUUCCCGGGCCUUGUACACACCGCCCGUCACACCAUGGGAGUGGGUUGCAAAAGAAGUAGGUAGCUUAACCUUCGGGAGGGCGCUUACCACUUUGUGAUUCAUGACUGGGGUGAAGUCGUAACAAGGUAACCGUAGGGGAACCUGCGGUUGGAUCACCUCCUUACCUUAAAGAA
rnacentral:rRNA from 1 species